rnacentral:lncRNA from 1 species
GGGGUGGGGGGUGGAAUUACGGGCGUGCAACACCGCACCUGCCGGACCUCCACGGCCCUCGCAAGUGACUUCAACCAAAAUGGCGCCAAUGUUAUGAACUCUAUUAAAUGGCCCUUCUCUGUAGAGGAGGGAAAUAAGCCUGGGAAAGGCUUCCAUGCAUCUUUUCAUGCAACUCCAACUUGGCCACAUUGCUUUAGUGCAUUGCUUGGGCAUUUCUCAUUUGAGGGGUCUUCAGCUCCUACUAUCAGUUUGUGUGACCUACCUGGGCGCCUUCAUUGCAUUUAGAUAUGAACCGGCUGAGAAAGGCCUGCAUUUUAUCUAGGCGACCUGACACCUUCCUCCAGCUACCCUCAGUUAACACCCAGUCUCCUCCCUGCCAGAGAUGACCAAGCACCAGGACAAUAUUUAGUAACUCAGCUUUGGCCAUGUGGAGAUUACAAUCUAAUGAGACCAACAAAUGGCAAAUAGCUAAACACAAGGUACUGGGCAACCCAGAGAACCACUGAGGGAUUUGGACUGUUUUCUUCUGAUUUGAGACUCGAAGGUCAACUAUGAAUUACGAACUGAAAAAAUGGAAAUAUAUGCCCCAAGUUGUGGGUAGUGGUUCCCUUAGGUGGUGAGGAGUGAAAGUAAAGCUCUGUCAGGGCAAAGCUCUUGCUUACUAUUACUGGGCUAUAGAUUUCAAUCUCAUACAGAUGCUCCUUGAUGCAUGAUGAGGUUGCAUCCCAAUAAACCCAUCAUAAGUUGAAAAUAUCAUAACUGAAAUGCAGUUAAUUCCCCUCACCCAUCAAACAUCAUACCUUGGCCCAACCUACAAUAAAUGUCUUCAAAACACAUUAGCCUGCAGUUGGGUAAAAUCAUCUAACACAGACAAUUUUAUAAUAAAGUGUUGGAUAU